rnacentral:lncRNA from 1 species
AGAAAAAGAAAAAUAAAGCAACAUGAUCAUGAAUUUCAUGCUCACCUUCCUGUAAUAGAACUUCAUACUAAAGUUUUCCAAGAACUCCCUCCAUGUGCUAUCAUUAGCUCAGUAAAAGUUUAAAGAUAAAAAUUUAAGCAUAUAAGUUUUGUGCAACAUGAGAAGGCAAAUUAAAUUUUGGUCCACCUACACCAAUGCUAUACCUCGCACCUUCAUACUUUACAUCAGCCAUUAUUUUAGUGCUCACUAAGUAUUCAUUCGGAAACUUGAGGCAGUCCUUCAUGCGGAAGGAAAUUCUAGAGAUUUAUUUUCUAGAUCUUCAACCUAGAUAGUUCUAAUUAGGGGUGUUUUCAUUUUUUUUGUUCUUGAUAAAUAUCAUGGUAUGCUGUUAAUAACUAAUCAUUAGAUUCCAAAAAAUUAAGUUGUCAUCAGACCUUAAUGGCUAUCACAAGUAUUUUGAAACAUGAAACUUUAACAUAGGAAUAGAUGCCAACCAUCUAAGCUGAG